AUUGAACGCUGGCGGCGUGCCUAAUACAUGCAAGUCGAACGAAGUGGCGCACGGGUGAGUAAUAUAUAGUUAAUCUGCCCUCCACUGAGGAACAACAGUUGGAAACGACUGCUAAUACCUCAUAGUGUCGGAUGGGACUAUAACGUAUCAGCUAGUUGGUAAGGUAAUGUCUUACCAACGCUAUGACGCGUAACUGGUCUGCGAGGAUGAUCAGUAACAUUGGAACUGAGGCACGUGCCAAGCACCGACGGGAGGCAGCAGUAAGGAAUAUUGCGCAAUGGGGGAGACUCUGACGCAGCAACGGCGCGUGGAGGAUGACACUUAUCGGGGCGUAAACUCCUUUUAUCAGGAAAGCGGUACCUGAGGAAUAAGCACCGGCUAACUCCGUGCCAGCAGCCGCGGUAAUUC
rnacentral:rRNA from 1 species